GAUGAACGCUGGCGGCGUGCCUAAUACAUGCAAGUCGAGCGAACAGACGAGGAGCUUGCUCCUCUAACGUUAGCGGCGGACGGGUGAGUAACACGUGGAUAACCUACCUAUAAGACUGGGAUAACUUCGGGAAACCGGAGCUAAUACCGGAUAAUAUAUUGAACCGCAUGGUUCAAUAGUGAAAGACGGUUUUGCUGUCACUUAUAGAUGGAUCCGCGCCGCAUUAGCUAGUUGGUAAGGUAACAGCUUACCAAGGCAACGAUGCGUAGCCGACCUGAGAGGGUGAUCGGCCACACUGGAACUGAGACACGGUCCAGACUCCUACGGGAGGCAGCAGUAGGGAAUCUUCCGCAAUGGGCGAAAGCCUGACGGAGCAACGCCGCGUGAGUGAUGAAGGUCUUCGGAUCGUAAAACUCUGUUAUUAGGGAAGAACAAAUGUGUAAGUAACUAUGCACGUCUUGACGGUACCUAAUCAGAAAGCCACGACUAACUACGUG
rnacentral:rRNA from 1 species